rnacentral:rRNA from 1 species
UAACGAAUCUUCCGCAAUGCACGCAAGUGUGACGGAGCGACGCCGCGUGUGGGACGAAGCCCUUCGGGGUGUAAACCACUGUCAGGGGCCACCAAGUUCUGAGGAGCCCCAGAGGAAGGCACGGCUAACUCUGUGCCAGCAGCCGCGGUAAGACAGAGGUGCCAAGCGUUAGGCGGAAUCACUGGGCUUAAAGCGUGUGUAGGCGGGCGCCUAAGUACCUUGUGAAAUCCCCCGGCUCAACCGGGGAACGGCUUGGUAUACUGGGCGUCUUGAGCCAACUAGGGGCUGCCGGAACAAAUGGUGGAGCGGUGAAAUGCGUAGAUAUCAUUUGGAACGCCAACGGUGAAAACAGGCAGCUGGGGUUGUCGCUGACGCUGAGACACGAAAGCCAGGGGAGCGAACGGGAUUAGAUACCCCCGUAGUCC